rnacentral:rRNA from 1 species
GCGCGUAAAUUGCCCGAAUCCUGACACAGGGAGGUAGUGACAAGAAAUAACAAUACAGGGCUCUUCGAGUCUUGUAAUUGGAAUGAGUACAAUUUACAUCUCUUCACGAGGAUCAAUUGGAGGGCAAGUCUGGUGCCAGCAGCCGCGGUAAUUCCAGCUCCAAUAGCGUAUACUAAAGUUGUUGCAGUUAAAACGCUCGUAGUCGGAUUUCGGGGCGGGCCCGCCGGUCUGCCGAUGGGUAUGCACUGGCGGGCGCGUCCUUCCUCCCGGAGACGGCUGCUACUCUUAACUGAGCGGUGGCCGGAGACGGGAUAUUUACUUUGAAAAAAUCAGAGUGUUUCAAGCAGGCAGUCGCUCUUGCAUGGAUUAGCAUGGGAUAAUGAAAUAGGACUCUGGUGCUAUUUUGUUGGUUUCGAGCACCGGAGUAAUGAUUAACAGGGACAGUCAGGGGCACUCGUAUUCC